rnacentral:rRNA from 1 species
UAGUCCGACGUUGUGAAAUGACUUGGGAGGUGUAGCAUAAGUGGGAGACUUUGUCGACUUUGAAAUACCACUACUCUCAAUGUUGUUUUACUUAUCCCGUUAAGUAGAGGCCGUCAGGUUAACCCCUGCUCGGUUCUAGUAUUAAGCUGGGCUCUUUUGUCCGGUGAUCUACGCGGGAGACAACGUCAGGUGUGGAGUUUGGCUGGGGCGG